CAAGCCUUAAAGUUUGGAUAUAGUUGGAAGGUUGGUACAGGUACCAAGGUCAGAUUUUGGGAGGACACUUGGUUUGGCAACUCCCCCCUUGCAGUCCAAUUCUGGCCUCUUUACAUAUUCUGUAAUGAGCCUGCUAAGUGUAUUUGUGAGGUGUGGGAUGGCCACCAAUUAAAGCUUACUUUUAGAAGGAACUUUGAUGAGAAAAUGACGGAGCAGUGGUACCAACUAGUAGAAAUAGUUGAUCGCAUCAAACUCAAUGCUGAUCCAGAUUCUCUAGUCUGGCAACUUGAAAAAAAAGGUAAAUAUUCUACUAGUUCUCUGUAUCAUGUCAUUAACUUCAGGGGGGUGCAACCAGUUUUCAUUCCUAGUGUCUGGAAACUAAGAGUUCCCCCCAAGAUUUAUGUCUUCCUCCGGCUGAUUGCUCAAAACAAAUUGUAG
rnacentral:rRNA from 1 species